UUUGCCAGCCUUUAGUGGUUUUGUCUGAUGCAGGUGGAGGUCAGUCCUCAAACAAAGACCUGAAUGGACCUUUCCGUAGAUCUGAGGAGCUCUGUCUCUCUCUGUGCAGCUUCCUCUCUUCUGGUCCUCUGAGCCACAAAUCCUAGCUACCAUAGCCUCCCUGAACUCUGAUCUCUGUCUUCUCUACGCAGCAAGACUGCCAGAUUCUGUGUGGGUUUUGCCUCCCUGUGCUACAGCCUAGAAACUGCCUUCAGGAAGUAAGAGAAACUGCCGUCACUUCUAAGAAGAGAAGAAAAUUUGGGGACUAGCAAAGAAAUAGAUAAAAUUCUUUUGAAGAUAUGUAAAGACUUGGGACUUCCCUAUCCUGUGUGUCCUCUAGCCCACCCAGACUUCGGGAUGACUUUAUUUUGUGCCAGGAGCCUCAAAGAUGGAAGCAGCCUGGGCGUCUCUCAACCCCUGAAGGUGCUGUGUGCUCAGCCUCACCCUCCUGCGGAUCAUCUCCUCAGGUUGCAUUUCCUGCUUUGCCUACCUUCUGUCUCACAUCGUAGCUGCUCAUGAAGCUGUUUUAUCCGUCUUACAAGAUUGUGUGCUUGAUCCCCAAUGGCCACCCCCAUUGUAAAUUUUAGUGCCUGGAUCAAAUCCUCAGGCACUCUACUGUUUUCAUUCCUCAACUGAGAAAAGAUGCUUAACUACACCUAUUCUUUAUUUUCUCCUUGUUAAAUCAUUAGUUUGUUGCACCUGCCUCCAAAGUGACCCUCAAAGCCCUUCCUUAUGCAGAAGGAAAGAAUACCCAGAAUGCCUUGGUAGAGUCUUGUACAGCUUACAGAGGUGGUGGGCUGAUAAAAGUUUAACAACUGGUUCUGGGGUGGGGAGCAGUGAGGGGAUUCCUAGUGUUUACUGGUCCUAGAUGUCACUGACUGCAGAAUUGAGAAGAGAUGCACACAAUUGGCUCUGGCUAGCUGAUCAGGCUUUAGAAGGUUCUGGUACACCUGUGGCUUACAGUUCAGGGAUGGUGAAAAAUGCUAUUCUGUAAGGAAUGGGUAAACAGCUGAAUCCUUCCUCCCUCUCACAAGCCUGUGUUACAUAUUUACAAUGCUAUCUCCCUUUCCAGGUUUGCCUCCUUCCAGGCCUCUUCAACUAACUGCACCAGAAUGUGACAAACCCUGAGUCAUGGAUAAUGAGUCAUAAAAAUGGCUCCACUCUGAAGUUUCUUAAAGGAUCACUAACAUGAGGGCAGUUUGAAACUCUCAGAUUGGGUACUGGGUGCAGGUUGACUUUGGGGUUAUGCUCAUUAAGCCCCAAAUUAAUGUUUUCCAAGCAUUUGCUCAACUUCCUACUUUGCAUGCACACGCACACACACACCCCUACACACACACUAACUUCUUAGGCACAUGCUGAAGCAUCUGUGACUCAGCAAUUUUUAUCAAAGAGAGGAUACUGCGCAAUUCCCCCUCCCCCCUGCCCCUGCCUCCCCCCUGCCAUCUCCUUUCCCCCAGUUCCAUAUGGCAGAAUGAGCAGACUUCAAACUUCUUUAAUCAGGGAUUUUGUUUUACGCUUUCUGUGUUCCAACAUGAUGUUUUGUUCACAAGAGAUAGCUGACAAAAUAUUUGUUAUGUUAAAUAAAUGAACUCUGAUUUCUUAUAGUAUAUAAGAAAUACUCCUCACCUCCCACCCCCAACAGGUACUCAUAAAUGGUCAUUAAACCUUGCAUGAACAAGUUUAAGUCAUUUCUGAUCCUAACUUUUGUCCUCAGAAGAACUGGUUUUCUUCCCUUAGACAAUAAAUGUUGACAAUAGAGGUAUCUGGUCUUCUCUGCCCCUUCCUUGUUGUGACAAGCAUGUGUUCACGCAUCCCACUCCCUCAACCAAGCUCUUCCCCAAAUUACCAGAGUCCUAGAAGCCUUAGUCAGUUAUGACCCAAAUCUUAGGUUUAGCCAUGCUGGUUUCUGACACUCGAGGAGUGGGAAAAAUAUGAAUCUUAAUAAAUCCACUGAAAUGAUGAUGAUAAAAAACACAGACAAUAGCAAGCAUUAGCUAGGAUACGAAGAAAUUGGAACUCUCAUGCAUCGUUGGUGGGAACCACUUCGGAAAACAGUUUGUCAUUUUCUUAAAAAGUUAAACAUAAACUUACCUUAUGACCCAGCAAUUACACUGUUAGGUAUCUACCCUAGAGAAAUGGAAAUAUAAGCCCUUACAAAGACAUGCACGUGAAUGAUCAUAGCAACUUUAUUCAUAAUUGCCCCGAAUUGGGAACAAUUCAAAUGUAUAUCAGCUAGUGAAAUGAAAAAACAAAAUAUGUUAUAUGCAUACAGUGGAGUACUUGCACCAAUAAAAGGCAAAGAAGUACCAAUAAAUGCUGCAAUGUUGAAGAGCCUCAAAAACAUUAUGCUAAGUGCAAGAUGCCAGACAGAAGACCAUAUACUUAUGGUAUGAUUCUGUUUAUAUGAAAUGUCCGAAAAGACAAAUUUUAAAAAGACAAAGAGCAAAUUAGUGCUAAUUUGGGGUCAAGGGCAGGAACAAGGAUAAACUACAAAUGGGCAUGAGGAACAUUUUGGAUCGAUGGAAAUGUUUGCAUAACUGUCAAUUUACAAAAAAAAUCAUUAAAUUAAACUCUUAAAAUGGUUGAAUUUUGUGGUAUGUAAAUUAUAGCUCAACAA